rnacentral:sRNA from 2 species
UGCCGCAGGCAACGGCCCGAAGGGCGAGGCGCUUUAGCGCCGAGUAAUCCUUCCCCCACCACCA